CCCGCUGCCGCCCCCCACUCCCCUAAGGGCAGGAGCGGAGCCUCCGCCGCCCCGUACCGGGGGAGAGGCUUCCCCGGGGCUGGGGGCGGUGCUGGGCCUGGGCGGUGAGAAGCGGGUACGGAAAGGCGGCCGUGAGGGGCAGGGAGUGGUGCGGACCCUGCCCCGGCUGCCGGAGGCCUGGCGACGCGGGGGAAGAGGCCGAGAAUCUCUGCGGCCCUUCAGUGAUACAGGAUGCUGUUUCCUUUGGUAUUGUGUGCAGUUGUUCUAAUAGGGAGUGGUAAAGUUCAAGAUGAUGAUUGGAUUGACCCCACGGAUAUGCUCAAUUAUGAUGCUGCAUCAGGAGCAAUGAGAAGACCUUUAAAGGCAAACUAUCAUGACUCUGAGGACAAAACUGUGGAUGCAGUCAGUACUGAAAUCUUACCGAGUUGUUCCAGGGAAGUAGAUUCCUUGCAACAGAAGAUUGUAGAAUGUGAGAAGAGGAAUGCCAAAUCACGUGAGAGCCGUAGCUUUUAUAUUUUUAAGCGAUACUUGAACAAGAUUUUAAAUGAAGCUGGAAAACUUGGCCUUCCUGAGGAGAAUGUGGGCCGUGUCCAUUAUGAUGCUGAGAUCAUCCUUACAAGACAGCAGUAUUUGGAGAUCCUCAGGUUUCUCAAUGAGGAAACCUGGCAGUCAGGUGCUGUGGAUGAUGCACUCAGUGACAUUUUGGUCAACUUUAAGCAUCAUGAUUAUGAUGCUUGGAACUGGAGAUUUGAAGACACUUUUGGGAUUGAUCUAUAUAAUUUAUUUAUGAUACUCUUGUGCUUAGUGUGCAUUGUAACUGUUAUAGCUACAGAGCUCUGGACACAUAUUCAUUGGUUUGUUCAACUAAAACGUGUUUUAUUAAUAAGUUUUCUCAUCAGUUUUGCAUGGAACUGGCUUUACUUGUAUAAGGUGGCUUUUGCACAGCAAAAAGCAGACAUUGCAAAAAUGGGGCAGUUUGAUAACAUCUGUGCUGAGAAGCUGGGCUGGAGAGAAAGUCUGCUUGAGUGGUUCACAAGUAAAUGGACAUUGCAGGAUGAUGCCUGUCAGAAGUACUAUGAAACUCUACUGGUAAAUCCAGUUCUGCUGGUCCCACCCACAAAGGCAUUGGCAAUUACUUUCACCAACUUUGUAACUGAGCCUUUGAAGCAUGUAGGACAAGGAGUUGGUGAAUUCAUCAAAGCGCUAAUGAAGGAGAUACCAUUCAUUCUGCAGAUUCCAGUGCUCUUUAUGAUGGCUCUGGCUGUUCUGGCUUUCUGCUACGGUGCAGGAUCAUCAGUGUCUAUGCUAAGAUACUUGACCUCUCAGAACAGAAGUCUUCCUCCCUCUGAGAGUCACCAGGCCAACACUGACUUGGUGCCUUACAAUGGGAGUCAGUCAGAUGGAUACAAUUUGCAGAGGCCUCGUUAUGUUCACAGAGGAUCUUACGACAGAGGGGAUGCUCCCCUGGGGCCAGGAAACAGCAGUGGGGGUCCUGACAUCCUGCACACCAGCACUGUGCCACACACGCAAGUAGAAGACUCUCAUGUACCAGAACCUGCUAAUAGAUUGCACACUGAGCCUGAAGUUUGUAGACUAGAAACUAUCACAGCUGAAAAUCUUACUGAAGAACAUGUACUUGAGCAGCAGAAAGAGGAGGCAGGCAAAGCAGAGCAAGAGACUGGAAAAAAUUGUGAUCCUAAUAAAAACCUAGAAGGGAAGAGUUCUGCAAUGGAACCAUGCAAAGAGAAGAACAGCAGUUCUCACGGGGAAGUGACCAAGAAAGAAGAGGAGCAGGUCUCAUUGGAUGCACAGGAGGGAGACAAAGGAAGCCCCAAGCUCUGAUCAAACAAAAAUGGUAACUAAGAUGCUACUAUACAAUAUGUGCCUGUUCCUUUCUUCAUCUGGAAUUUGAUCCCUUUAUCACUGAAGGUGGAGUAGAGGAUGUUGCCACAGAAGCAGCUGAAAAUCUGUUCUUCUCCUGGAAGUGGUACCUCUGGUCAUCCAUCCUGUUACUCUGGAAUCGACUCAGCAGAUCAAAGAACCCUUCAUCUGCCAUUGUCUCUCGACUGUUUUUCUGAAGAAGAGAGAAGAGUUAGGGGUUUCUGGAACUCCAGACUACCUGAACAGGGAAAACUGCAUCACAGUUUCAGUCCAGUGGUAAUGUUUGAUAUAUGUGUAUCUGAAAUCCAUUAAAUUAAUUUUUUUAGUCAUCCA